AUUUGCCAUAUUUAUGAUCUCAUACAGAAAGCUACUCAUAUAAAAGAAACAUGACAUUCCAUUUUAACCACAAACUCACUAAAAUCAUAUUCACUGACCAAUAACAUGCUUUCUCGCACUACCAACCCUUCGCCAAGGUUCGUCCACUACCACCUUUCUAUCUCUGGUACGUAUUUUGUUAUCUUAUAAAACAUAAUUUUACUUUUUUAAGAAAUAUAAGUCUUUUUAAAAUUUGUAUUUAGUAUAUAAGUAGUGGUCGAGGUGAACGUGCUAGAGGUAAAAGUAGCUGCAGUGGUGGUGGUCGAGUAGGUCAAAGUAGCCGUAGUGGUGGUGGUCGAGAUACAACAGCAUAUAGGAAUGCGGAAAUCAGUUACCAAUUUAAUAAAGCUACAUUUGAGGGACAAAUCAACGAGUGAGAAUACUUGCCGGUGUACGUAAAUGCAGGCGAUGAGAACGAGUCUCAAACUAUGAUCUAGCCUCGUCACGAGUCUCAUAAAAUAUAUCACGAUAAGUUUUUGCCAACGAUCUUCACUCACGAGAAUGGUAGGAGACAUAACACACUCUAUAAUAUGUACACCGUCUAUUUAAAGACGUAUGUACAUGUAAUGCCACUUUUAAUGCAAUACUAUUCCAUCUCAUAAUUGACAAUAUCAUUCAAUUAUAAGUAUCUCUAUAAGACCUAUUAAUUUAUCAAGAGUGUUAUCAAAUUCAUAAUUUAUUUGCUGUAGAUGAACUUAUCACUUUCUUCACUUAAUUUAAAGCAUAACUUCGUCGCUCAUGAAAAUAAAUUGAAACUUUGUCGGCUUACGUUUUGUGACUUGUUCACCUCCGAAUAAAACAAUGACUUGUUCUUCUUGCUAGUGCGUUGGAGCCAUCAAAGUUUUUGAUGAUUAUUCACACGUUAAUAAGAAUAACAAAUUCGUUAGUUUUAUUAUGGGAUGAACAGUCACAAAACGUAAGUCGAUAAAGUUUCAACUUAUUUUCAUGAACGACGAAAUUAUGCUCUAAGUUAAGUGGAAAAAAA
rnacentral:lncRNA from 1 species